UCAUCUAAAACUCGGACGAAUAUAUAUAUAUAUAGUGUGUAAAGUUAUUGUACUUUCAAAAGUAUAAAGAAGAUGGUGGUUCCGACUUUUCUUCUUGAGAGAGAAAGAUAGCAUACUAUUUGCUUCGUCUACUUUUUUAGAAAUGAAUCUAGCUAAAAAUCUGAAUCAAUAAGGUUUCAAAUUUGGAACUUUGAGUACCAAAUAAUCAAACCUUUCGUCACUUGCGCUAAGGACGGUCAGUUGUUUUUUACUUUUUGGCCCUUAGAUACUAGAAUGAUAGUGCUUCCUCUAGGAUUAAUUUAAUAAUUUUUUUAG
rnacentral:lncRNA from 1 species